rnacentral:rRNA from 1 species
UACGAAGGGUGCAAGCGUUACUCGGAAUUACUGGGCGUAAAGCGUGCGUAGGUGGUUUGUUAAGUCUGAUGUGAAAGCCCUGGGCUCAACCUGGGAACGGCAUUGGAAACUGGCUUACUAGAGUGCGGUAGAGGGGUGUGGAAUUCCCGGUGUAGCAGUGAAAUGCGUAGAUAUCGGGAGGAAUACCGGUGGCGAAAGCGACUCUCUGGACGGCAACUGACGCUGAGGCACGAAAGCGUGGGGAGCAAACAGG